GUAGAUCAGGUUGCUCAGAACCCCAUCCGACCGUGAACAGUGCCAGGGAUGGGGCAUCCACAGCUUCUCUGGGAAAUGUGUUCCAAUGCCCAGGAGAUGAAAUAUAAGGAUAGAAAGACAGAAGAAUUAUGCAAAACAACAAUGUAACUACCACUUCUUCUUCCAACACUGUUCAUCUGAUAUAAAUUCAGAGAGGAGCUCUUAUGAGGAGUGAUGUGCACUGUGCUGAGCAAAUCCUUCAUCAUGGUCUUGCUGAUUUCAAAUCUGCUCCAGUGAUGUGAUCUGUCAAGCUGCUCUCAGAAUGAUUAGAAAAUUGAAUGAUGGAUCAAACAAGAAGCAGCUAAAUGAUAGCUUCCUGUUCAAUGUCAGACCAGCAAACCCUACUUGUUAAUUCUCUGCAAAUAAAGUAGUACUCAAUAUAGUGAGACAAACGCUGUUGAAAAGUCAAGCCAGUUCUGAGCGACACUGAUCCUCAAUCACAGUUAAGCUUAUGUCAUAACCUCUUAAUGCAGAAGCAAAGAAAUUCUCCAUGGCAAAGAUUUGUCAGCCUGUAGCAGGGUCUCAAAAUUCAGCAUCAAUGCACUACCUAGAGUAAAGGGUAAAAAAAUGGCAUUGGGCAGGCAGUAUAAUUACAUAUAAUUGGUAGCCUGAUCCUAGUUACUUGGUUUUGCAUGAAUUACUUUAUACAGAUGCUUUUUCACAUCAAUAAAACUGUACUUAAUAUUUUAAUCCAACUUUUCAAUUUGCUAUUCCACAAGGGUGUUACUGUUGUGAAAAGAAAAGAGAGACUUUGAAAAUUCAAAUAGUAAUGCAUAAAAUCUGACAUGUUCUUAUUUGAAAGAUGAGAAUAGCUGCAUCAAUUUUAUGCCUUUAAAAAUGAUGCAACAAGUAUUUAAUAGUCUCUGCUCUUGUAGUUUGAUAUAUAGUAAACAAAGAUUUAUCCACCUACUUUACUUUUGAAAAUAGCUGCCAAACUGGACAUUUUCAGGUUUUUUGCUGGUAGUAACUACUUCAUUUUCCUUAUUGUUUUGUUAGAAUUAUAUUUGCACAUUAAAUAGGAAGGGGAAAUCUGUGUAUCAGUAAAGGUUUUCUUUCAAAAUUCAAACCUGUUCUAAGUGAAUCAAAAUGUGAAAUGUGAUUGCUUGAAAUAAAAUAAGUGGCUUUCGUUUA